UAUAUCUCAGGUUCUUUGGGGGAAUCUGGGCCACGGAGAGCAACACCCCCCAGGACAUCAGCGGAUCAAUCGCUCCCACAGCCUUUCUUCACUACAGGUUAUCCUUUUUUACUGAUUCCGCCAGCACACGUAUUAUUCAUUUUAAACUGUAACUAUUAUACUAUAAAUAUAAUAAUUACGCUCAAUGUCCUGUCUUAAUGGUAAUAUAUCCACAGUCUUUCCAAUGCCACUGCAGACUCCAAAUGACACAAACAUGACAGAAAACAAUGUCAGAAGAAGGAAAAGCUCUUCCUCAGCCGACACCGGAGACAUUACUUUGCCUCUAAAGUUUCUGACUGACUAUCAUCUUUCUGCUCUAAGACAGCUGACGUCCGACAAGAAAAUCACAGUUCAUUUAGGUCUCCGUGUCUCUCUCACUGGUCCAGGUCAGCUACUAGACCCUCAGCUCCUCCUUGCCAUGAACAAAGAGCCAGGAAUCUACAACAUUGGAGAGAAAGGAGGACUCUUUUCAAUGAGAAUAGUGGGAAUAAAGAGAGUGACCUUCACACCAUGAUUGCAUCACCCACAGUCCACCCCUCUGUUCCCUCAAUCACUUGUAUUAUUUAUG